UGCGAGUGAAGCGGCAAAAGCUCAAAUUUGAAAUCUGGCGUCUUCUGGCGUCCGAGUUGUAAUUUGGAGGAGCGUCUUCGGGAGCCGGCACCGUCCUAAGUUCUUUGGAACAGGACGUCACAGAGGGUGAGAAUCCCGUGCUUGGACGGUUGUCUGUUCCCAUGCGAAGUGCUUCCGACGAGUCGAGUUGUUUGGGAAUGCAGCUCAAAAUGGGUGGUAAAUUUCAUCUAAAGCUAAAUAUUGGCGAGAGACCGAUAGCGCACAAGUAGAGUGAUCGAAAGAUGAAAAGCACUUUGAAAAGAGAGUUAAAAAGUACGUGAAAUUGUUGAAAGGGAAGCGCUUGAGACCAAACUCAGUCUUUGGUGAUCAACUGAGGCUUCUGUCCAGUGCACUUUGCCAUUGACUGGGCCAGCAUCGGUUCUGACGGCGGGAAAAACGGCCAGGGAAUGUGGCUCCUUUCGGGGAGUGUUAUAGACUUGGCCUUCAAUACUGCCAGUUGGGACCGAGGACCGCGCUUCGGCUAGGAUGCUGGCGUAAUGGUCUUAAGCGACCCGUCUUGAAACACGGACCAAGGAGUCUAACAUCUAUGCGAGUGUUCGGGUGGAAAACCCUUGCGCGUAAUGAAAGUGAACGGAGGUGGGAACCGCAAGGUGCACCAUCGACCGAUCCUGAUGUCUUCGGAAGGAUUUGAGUAUGAGCAUAGCUGUUGGGACCCGAAAGAUGGUGAACUAUGCCUGAAUAGGGUGAAGCCAGAGGAAACUCUGGUGGAGGCUCGCAGCGGUUCUGACGUGCAAAUCGAUCGUCAAAUUUGGGUAUAGGGGCGAAAGACUAAUCGAACCAUCUAGUAGCUGGUUCCUGCCGAAGUUU
rnacentral:rRNA from 1 species